UUAAUUAAAUUAAAUGUUAAUUUAAAGCCAAGUGGCACAACCAAAUAAAAUAAAAAAAAAAGAAAAAGAAAAAAAAGAAAAGAAUAAAGGAGAAAAGACUAGAAGAGAAGAGGGAAUUUUCUUUCCCAUUUUUGUUUUCUCCUCCUCCCCGUGAACAACCAACCAUGAAACCCACUUCUCCCAUCUUUUCUCUUUUACACUAAUUUCUUCAAAUUUCACCUCCAAUUAAUUAUCCAUCUUCUCCCAACACCUUUCCAAAGAAGAAUUUGAAGAAAAGAAGGAAAAAUCAAAGAGAAAAUUCAAGGUUGAGGGAGAGUGAAUAGUAACCAAGGGUUUGGAAAUUUGAAAGGCUGUAGAUUCAAGGAACAGUAGUGCAAGAUUUGCAUCAACCCAGUCAGAGUUACAUCAUUGACCAUACUAGGGUAUAUUUUGUAAAUUUUUUAUAUGAACUUGAUUGUGGUAAUAUAGCAUGUACAUAAAGUUUUAGAGAUGAAGUUGUAUAUGUAAAUAUGGAUGAUUAAUAUAAGUUCUGUGUUGAGAUUAUUGAAAUGUUAUGAAGUGUUUGAUCUCA